GCUGCCUGACAGCCUGGAGCUGAACAAAGAUCACCGCAGCUGCUGCUUUGCCUCAGAAGGAAAGAAGGGAAGAUUCUGAGCAGAUGUGGACUUGGACUGUAGCAACUUCAAAGCUGCAAAUUUACUCUGAUCCAGAAUCAGCAAAGCAAACGUGACGUAACUGGUGGAUCUGGAGCUGCUGCCGCCAUGAAAUACCAUUAAUGUUGUUGAACUGGUGGAGAAAGGCUUGCAGAUCCAGAAUGUGUCAUCAGUGAGCUGCUGAAAAGAUGUCAGGACAAAAACAUUCAUCUGCAUUUCAUAGACGACGCUGCGUGGGAACUUUUCUCACAGAUGCAUGUGAGCAUCUUCCUGAAUGUUUGACUCAAUAUUUCUGUUCAUAUUAA